CGGGGUGUAGUAUAGAGGUAGUACGUACCCAUGGGGUGGGUAUAGCCCGGGUUCGAUUCCCGGCACCCCGACCA
rnacentral:tRNA from 4 species